rnacentral:rRNA from 1 species
UACGUAGGUGGCAAGCGUUGUCCGGAUUUACUGGGCGUAAAGGGCGCGUAGGCGGCCACGCACGUCCGUUGUGAAAUCGCCCGGCUCAACUGGGCGGGGUCAGCGGAUACGGUGUGGCUCGAGCAAGCUAGGGGGCAAUGGAAUUCCCGGUGUAGUGGUGGAAUGCGUAGAUAUCGGGAGGAACACCAGUGGCGAAGGCGGUUGCCUGGAGCUUUGCUGACGCUGAUGCGCGAAAGCGUGGGGAGCGAUCCGG